ACAAGCGGUGGAUGAUGUGGAUUAAUUCGAUGCAACGCGAAAACCUUACCUACCCUUGACAUGUCUGGAACCUUGCUGAGAGGCGAGGGUGCCUUCGGGAGCCAGAACACAGGUGCUGCAUGGCUGUCGUCAGCUCGUGUCGUGAGAUGUUGGGUUAAGUCCCGCAACGAGCGCAACCCUUGUCAUUAGUUGCCAUCAUUUAGUUGGGCACUCUAAUGAGACUGCCGGUGACAAACCGGAGGAAGGUGGGAUGACGUCAAGUCCUCAUGGCCUUUAUGUCUAGGGCUACACACGUACUACAAUGGCCGGUACAAAGGGCAGCCACUCAGCGAUGAGGCGCUAAUCCCAUAAAGCCGGUCUCAGUCCGGAUCGCAGUCUGCAACUCGACUGCGUGAAGUUGGAAUCGCUAGUAAUCGUAGAUCAGCAUGCUACGGUCGAAUACGUUCCCGGGCCUU
rnacentral:rRNA from 1 species